rnacentral:rRNA from 1 species
ACUUUCUGUUGUAGCAAUACGACGGAAAGUUCAGUGGCGAUCGGGUGCGUAACACGUGGGCAAUCUGCCUUAAAGUGUGGGAUAGCUCGGCGAAAGCCGAAUUAAUACCGCAUGUGGCUACUGGAGACAUCUUCGGGACGCUAAAGGUGGCGCAAGCUACCGCUUUUUGAGGAGCCCGCGGCCUAUCAGCUUGUUGGUGAGGUAACGGCUCACCAAGGCGUUGACGGGUAGCUGGUCUGAGAGGACGACCAGCCACACUGGGACUGAGACACGGCCCAGACACCUACGGGUGGCAGCAGUCGAGAAUUUUUGACAAUGGGGGAAACCCUGAUCGAGCGACGCCGCGUGGAGGAUGAAGGUCUUCGGGUUGUAAACUCCUGUCAUUUGGGAACAAGGCGCAGGUAUUAACUGUACGUGCGUUGAUAGUACCAGAAGAGGAAGAGACGGCUAACUCUGUGCCAGCAGCCGCGGUAAUACAGAGGUCUCAAGCGUUGUUCGGAUUCACUGGGCGUAAAGGGUGUGUAGGUGGCGCGCUAAGUCGGGUGUGAAAUUUCGGAGCUUAACUCCGAAACUGCAUUCGAUACUGGCGUGCUUGAGGACUGGAGAGGAGACUGGAAUUUACGGUGUAGCAGUGAAAUGCGUAGAUAUCGUAAGGAAGACCAGUGGCGAAGGCGGGUCUCUGGACAGUUCCUGACACUGAGACACGAAGGCCAGGGGAGCAAACGGGAUUAGAUACCCCGGUAGUCCUGGCAGUAAACGGUGCACGUUUGGUGUGGGAGGAUUCGACCCCUUCUGCGCCGGAGCCAACGCGUUAAACGUG